rnacentral:rRNA from 1 species
UUUUGGACAAUGGGCGCAAGCCUGAUCCAGCAAUGCCGCGUGAGUGAAGAAGGCCUUCGGGUUGUAAAGCUCUUUUGUCAGGGAAGAAACGGUGAGCUCUAAUACAGUUUGCUAAUGACGGUACCUGAAGAAUAAGCACCGGCUAACUACGUGCCAGCAGCCGCGGUAAUACGUAGGGUGCAAGCGUUAAUCGGAAUUACUGGGCGUAAAGCGUGCGCAGGCGGUUAUGUAAGUCAGACGUGAAAUCCCCGGGCUCAACCUGGGAAUGGCAUUUGAGACUGCAUGGCUAGAGUGUGUCAGAGGGGGGUAGAAUUCCACGUGUAGCAGUGAAAUGCGUAGAGAUGUGGAGGAAUACCGAUGGCGAAGGCAGCCCCCUGGGAUAACACUACGCUCAUCACGAA